rnacentral:rRNA from 1 species
UACGGGGGGGGGCAAGCGUUGUUCGGAAUUACUGGGCGUAAAGGGCGCGUAGGCGGCCCGCUAAGUCGAACGUGAAAUCCCCGAGCUCAACUCGGGAACUGCGUCCGAUACUGGCGGGCUUGAAUCCGGGAGAGGGAUGCGGAAUUCCACGUGUAGCGGUGAAAUGCGUAGAGAUGUGGAGGAACACCAAUGGCGAAGGCAGCCGUUCUGGGCCGAACACUGACGCUCAUGCACGAAAGCGUGGGGAGCAAACACGG